rnacentral:rRNA from 1 species
UACGUAGGGGGCAAGCGUUGUCCGGAAUUAUUGGGCGUAAAGAGCGUGUAGGCGGUCCGGUAAGUCAGCUGUGAAAGUCAAGGGCUCAACCCUUGAAUGCCGGUUGAUACUGUCGGGCUAGAGUCCGGAAGAGGCGAGUGGAAUUCCCGGUGUAGCGGUGAAAUGCGCAGAUAUCGGGAGGAACACCUGUGGCGAAAGCGGCGCACUGGACCAUAACUGACGCUGAGGCGCGAAAGCUAGGGGAGCAAACAGG